rnacentral:rRNA from 1 species
UACGUAGGGUGCGAGCGUUGUCCGGAAUUAUUGGGCGUAAAGGGCUCGUAGGCGGUCUGUCGCGUCGGGAGUGAAAACUCAGGGCUUAACCCUGAGCCUGCUUCCGAUACGGGCAGACUAGAGGUAUGCAGGGGAGAACGGAAUUCCUGGUGUAGCGGUGGAAUGCGCAGAUAUCAGGAGGAACACCGGUGGCGAAGGCGGGUCUCUGGGCCGUAACUGACGCUGAGGAGCGAAAGCGUGGGGAGCAAACAGG